AGAUAGAGAAUCUUUUAAUAUUCAUUUAUUUUAGUUCUCGGCGGACACAACAUCUUUCUUUGUAUGUGGUGCUGAGGAUCGAACCCAGGCCGCACGCAUGCCAGGCGAGCGCGCUACCGCUUGAGCCACAUCCCCAGCCCUUGAAAUUCUUAAUAACUUAAGCGGCCCGUAUUUUUAUCUUGCUCUGGACUCCAUAAUUAUGGAGGCAGUUCUGUGCCUAGAAUAACAUGUUUCUGGGUUGUCCAGCGGGGAAAAUCUGGACUUAUUUUGAUCUUUUCCUUGCCUUUUAAGUUCAAUUUUUUAAAGUCCUAUAGAUAUUUUACCUGAGGUUAAUUUUUCCAGUCACCACACAUUUUUCUCCAUGCCUCCCCACCUCACUGAUUCUCUGAAGUAUCCUCC
rnacentral:lncRNA from 1 species